rnacentral:lncRNA from 1 species
AUACAGGGGGUACCGGUACAGAGUCAAUGUGGAGGCUAUAUACAGUGGGUACCGGUACAGAGUCAAUGUGGAGGCUAUAUACAGGGGGUACCGGUACAGAGUCAAUGUGGAGGCUAUAUACAGGGGGGUACCGGUACAGAGUCAAUGUGGAGGCUAUAUACAGGGGGAACCGGUACAGAGUCAAUGUGGAGGCUAUAUACAGGGGGUACCGGUACAGAGUCAAUGUGGAGGCUAUAUACAGGGGGUACCGGUACAGAGUCAAUGUGGAGGCUAUAUACAGGGUAUUACGGUACAGAGUCAAUGUGGAGGCUAUAUACAGGGUAUUACGGUACAGAGUCAAUGUGGAGGCUAUAUACAGGGUAUUACGGUACAGAGUCAAUGUGGAGGCUAUAUACAGGGGGUACCGGUACAGAGUCAAUGUGGAGGCUAUAUACAGGGGGUACCGGUACAGAGUCAAUGUGGAGGAUAUAUACAGGGUAUUACGGUACAGAGUCAAUGUGGAGGCUAUAUACAGG